CCUACGGGAGACAGCAGUCGAGAAUCAUUCACAAUGGGGGAAACCCUGAUGGUGCGACGCCGCGUGGGGGAAUGAAGGCCUUCGGAUUGUAAACCCCUGUCAUGUGGGAGCAAAUUAAAAAGAUAGUACCACAAGAGGAAGAGACGGCUAACUCUGUGCCAGCAGCCGCGGUAAUACAGAGGUCUCAAGCGUUGUUCGGAAUCACUGGGCGUAAAGCGUGCGUAGGCUGUUUCGUAAGUCGUGUGUGAAAGGCGCGGGCUCAACCCGCGGACGGCACAUGAUACUGCGAGACUAGAGUGAUGGAGGGGGAAGCGGAAUUCUCGGUGUAGCAGUGAAAUGCGUAGAUAUCGGGAGGAACACUCGUGGCGAAGGCGGGUUCCUGGACAUUAACUGACGCUGAGGCACGAAGGCCAGGGGAGCGAAAGGGAUUAGAUACCCGUGUAGUC
rnacentral:rRNA from 1 species